UACGUAGGGUGCAAGCGUUGUCCGGAAUUAUUGGGCGUAAAGAGCUCGUAGGCGGUCAGUCGCGUCUGCUGUGAAAACUCGGGGCUUAACUCCGGGCCUGCAGUGGGUACGGGCUGACUAGAGUGCGGUAGGGGAGACUGGAAUUCCUGGUGUAGCGGUGAAAUGCGCGAUAUCAGGAGGAACACCGGUGGCGAAGGCGGGUCUCUGGGCCGUAACUGACGCUGAGGAGCGAAAGCGUGGGGAGCGAACAGG
rnacentral:rRNA from 1 species